rnacentral:snRNA from 1 species
GGAUGUAAGGUUCUCUGUCUGCGACAUUUGUCACUCCACUGAUCGCUGAGGUUGAUUCGGCUGAUCUGGCUGGGUAGGCAGGUGUCCCCUUCCUUCCUCACCACUGCAUAUGCGUCCCUCCUGAGCCUGCAUGAUCGGUAGCUGCAUGCCCAGUCAAAGAGGAAGACCAUCCCCAAAACAGGAAGACUGUUCUUGGGUCAAGGGUUUACAAGUAGCUGCACUCCCCUGCUAGAACCUCCAAACAAGCCCUCAAAAAAGUAAAAAGACAACCCCUAAAGUAGGAGAAAAUAUUUUCAAAUCACAUAUUGGGUAAGAGUCUAGUACUGA